UACGGGGGGGGCAAGCGUUGUUCGGAAUGACUGGGCGUAAAGGGCGCGUAGGCGGAUGGUACAGUCAGAUGUGAAAUUCCUGGGCUUAACCUGGGGGCUGCAUUUGAUACGUAUUGUCUAGAGUGAGGAAGAGGGUCGUGGAAUUCCCAGUGUAGAGGUGAAAUUCGUAGAUAUUCGCAAGAACACCAGUGGCGAAGGCGGCUCACUGGCCCGAUACUGACGCUGAGGCACGAAAGCGUGGGGAGCAAACAGG
rnacentral:rRNA from 1 species